UGAGUAAAAAGUAAAGUAAUCUAAUUAAAUGAAAAAACACAAAAUAAUUAAAAGAAGUCGUAAUCCAAUUUGCUUGGUCAAACCCUCCCAAUGCACUCAUCUCCUCCGCAGCUGCACCAUAUGACGACCCGAUUCGAAUUCUUCAAGAUUCAAAUUCCUGGAGGAUAAGUGCCAGUGAGAAACCCAAUACAAAUCCCUUUUAUAAAGGUCACAAAAUCAGAAAUUGGGGCACACAAGAAACGGGUUGAUGUUUUCGUCGGAUUCCGCCGAUAUCUUGGCCGUGUAGGGCGGAGCAAAGUCGGAGCAGCGCUGGCUUCGCAACGAAGAGUUCAAAUUUCUUCUGGAUUUCAUUUUUUUCCGGUCGCCACCGCCAACGGAAACCCGAAUAGGGGUUUGUGAGAAGCUUGACCUCCCGCCGGAAAAACAUGAGCGAAUCCUUAAUUUCAGAUGUGUGAAAGUAGGUUUUAUUGUUUUGUGGGUCAUGGUACUGGAGAGAGAAGAGGAACAAUGGUGAUGUGUUUGAUGAACAU
rnacentral:lncRNA from 1 species